CCGGGCUUUAAAAGAUCCAAAUUAACCCAAUUCCGUUACUCUUCGUCGUCUUCAAUCGCAACUCCCAAUUCCCGAAACCUAUUACUGUAUUACAGAAACAGAGUUUGAAUCGAUCAGAUUCCACACUCACAUAGAAAAGCUUUGAAGAUGUUGAGGCUGACGAGACUAUCCUCAGCUUCUGCAUUUCUCAGUUCAAGAAGCUCGUUAGUGAGACAAGACAAGCUGUUGAUCCCCCUCAUCUCUCAACACAAUCCUCCGUAUCAAUGCUCCUCCACUCGCUUCCUCGACAUUUACCAGCUUGGAAACAAGGCUGCAAUUGAGAAAGAACGCGCGAGGCUUACGGAUGAAAUGAGCCGGGGUUAUUUCGCUGACAUGUCUGAAAUGAAGAAACAUGGUGGUAAGAUUGCAAUGGCUAAUAAGAUUAUAAUACCAGCAAUAUCUGCUGUAAAGUUUCCUGCAUUGGAGGUGACUUACUCACACGGCACAAGCCUUAAGCUGCCUAGUAUGUGCAGUGGAAAAGAUAGUGAUGCAGAUGUGCCAAGGGCAUCCUUAUUGUGUCUUUCUUUUCGUGCAAGCUCGGAGCCAAUGAUUCAUUCUUGGAGUGUGCCAUUUGUUGAUUCAUUCAAAGAUUCAAAUAAGGUCCACUUAUAUGAGAUCCACAUCUCACAAGCAAAAACCGUAAGACAAGAUAUCCUUCAUAGAUUCAUGGUUAUUAUCACGCAAUCCUAUGAAAAAGCUACUUCUUCGUGUAAUGAGGAAACCUAAGCCUAAUGGCCGGGAGGACGUAUUGCAGAGACAGAUCACAUACUCAUUUGGGGAUCAUUAUGAGUUCAGAAAAGAGCUCAAAGUACUGAACCUUUUGACAGGGUACAUCUUUCUGCUCGACAAAUUUGGUAGAAUACGAUGGCAGGGCUUUGGUUCAGCAACUCAAGAAGAGAUGUCAUCACUCUUGUCCUGCACCUCAAUGCUGUUACAAGAAGAAUGAAAUUGAGAAAAAGUUUAAACCGUGGCUGAUUUCAAGUUUCUCAACUCUGUCAAAACGCGAUCCUAUGGGUGAUCUAUUCCCUUUCACUUUCACUUGCCAUACAUAAUAUAGCCAAUCCCAUUAAUGGUCGACACAUUGUUUGCUAUUAUCUAUGGACAUCUUCCAAUUUUAUAUACUUGAUGCUUUCAUAACACGACAAUGUGGAAAGUUCGCAGUUCCUUCAUUGAAUAUAUAAUUUUUUUUGGAUGA